CACAAAGCGAUGCGGACGGGCGAGCUGUUCCGCGGCGCGGCGCCAGAGGGUCCGGAGAGAAACCCCGCGGCCGGGUAUGAAGGAGGGCAUUCCUGUCCCUUGCCACUGCUGAGUGACUUGAAAGGGUCCGUCCACAGCCUGCCACCACCCUGAUGGAGUUACCAACCCUGAUGAAUGUUACAGCUUCAGCUGAAAGAUUUUCUUCAUUUGUCGUCGGAAACAUCAUGCCAAAAACCAUUACAAAGUGGAAGAGCUUUUGCCAGUGACAGACUUUUUCCAUGGCAGUCCAUUGCAUUGGAACAGUUGGAUCUCAUUGCUAUCUUUAUCCAAGGCAAAAUUGCCUUUGCAGUAGAAGUGUUUCCUUUUAUAUAAACUAUUGCUAUAGUAGUUGCUACUUUGUGAACCAUCAUUGGGUCUCAUGCUAGGAGGGUAUUACAAAAGUGCUGUGCUUUUUAAGAAGGUAGCAAGAGAAAUGGAAGCAGUUUGUGGGUUUGCAGUUAAGGAGACCCUGACCAGGAACCACCCCAGAGCUUUUUCCAGUUGUGGUCUAAAGAAGGAUGUGCACACACAUGGUAAAGAAUCUGCAAUCAAAAUUGGCAAGAAGAGUAUUGCAGUAAGAAACUGAGAGAGCAGAGCUCUGCAGCACCUUGGGCCAGGGUGGGAAUCAGCAGUAAAGCCAUGUCCUGGGGUCUGGUGAGAUUGUGAGUGGAGACAGGUGCCAGGGACACCCCAAACCUGGAGGUGCAGUGAUGAUGGUCCAGCAGAUGAAGAUGUCAGUAACUUAUACAAUAACAAAAUCACAGAAUGGUUUGGGUUAGAAGGAACCUUUAGAGGUCAUCUUCUUCCAGCCCCCUGCCAUGUGCAGGGACACCUUUUACUAGAUCAGGUUGCUCAAAGCCCCAUCCAACCUCACCUUGAACACCUCCAGGGAUGGGGCAGACACAGAGCUUCUGGGCAUCCUGUGCCAGGGCCUCACCACCUUCACUGCAGAAAACUUCUUCCUUAUAUCUAACCUAAAUUGACCCUCUUUUCAUUUAAAACCAUUUAGUUUAAACACCCUGGGCAAGGAGGGAGUGAAGGUUCUGUUGCAGAGUGUUUCCCCUGCUGAGAUAAUGAGACCACCACAUGCUCCAGCAAUGCUGCUCUGCUGCCUCUUUAGGUGACAGCCUGAACAGGAAACAGCCAAAUUACACCUAAUGAGCUUUCAUGCUUUGACUGUAAGUGAUGAGGAUAGACACUUCUGAUGGAAGACAUUUCCUCCAAACCUGCCUCCAUUGUUCACAUCCUGAAAAAGUGGGAAUUCACCCCAUAUUUCUGAGACUAAUGAUCUGCACUGGGCAAACCCUGCAUGGGCUCCAGCAGAGCCCACGAUUCCUUCACUGGAAGGAUGAGCUGCUGUAGGAGCUUGUGAUCCAGCAGGAUCAGCAUCUUCCCCACCAGCCAACCUGGGAAAAAAACAGACAAGGAGGCAAAGGUCAACCUCAGAAUAUCUGAAAAGUUGUAUUUAGGUUAAGGAUUAUUUUGCCCUGAAAAAUGUCUGUCUGAAUUCACAGCUGUAAAGAGCUGCAGUUGCCAGGAGCAAUGGGGAUUCUUACCAGCCCAAGACAGAGCCCUUGGUUUUAAUACUAAAUCAGAUCAAGUCUACAGUUCUUAAAAAACUCUUGUUUCCAUGGGAAGGGCCUGCUUUUCACUAACCUAUAAUUUAAGAAAUAGUUUGGAGAGUUAAGCUGUAUUUUGAAAAAUGAAUUCUCCUUCAGGCUGAUGGCUUUUACAGCCUAACCAGCCUUAGAACAAUGUCAUGUGAAAUGACAGAGAUCAAGACCUUUAGUUAAACUGUACAAGAAAAAGAGCUUUGGAGAAUAAAGUGCAUGAUCAUUAAUUAUUGCAGCACAAGGAACACAGCUGUAAUUUUUUUGUUUGCCCAGAAUAUCUCCUACAAAUUUUAUCAGUCUAAUUGUUAAUACAUGAAAACUGGAGUCCUUGUUUUUUCAUGUCUUUUGGUAGUGAUCAAAAUUAGACAAGAUUUCUAGUUACAGCUGCUAUUAAUAAACCUACUCCUUGAAAAUGUGGUAGUUAAUUUCUUAGGAUUCAGUGCACUCAAUAAGCUAUUGAAAACUAUAAUUGCUCAUGGCUGUAAUUUUGAAGUAAUUCUAGAAAUAACUAUAGAAGAAAUGCUGAACAUAGUCUUUCUAACACACUGAAGUUCUCCAGACUGAAAAGCGUCCCUGUCAGGAAAAUCAAGCACAUAAACCCACGGGUACCCUCUGCCCUAAAGUCACUGUUUAUGGACACCUUUGUAGC